GCUCCCCACACACCGCCGGCGUCCGCUGGUCUCCCCGCCGGAGCCCGACAGCGCCUUCCACCCGGGUCCCCGCUUUUCCCGACCGGAGAAUUACUUCAUGCCCAGCAACUUCAGAGGAAGAGAAAUAACAAGCCAGAAUGUCCAUUUAUUCAUCUACAACAAAAAAUGGGCCCAAUUUGACAGCCGAGGCCAUCUACCCAGGACAUUCCCUCCUGCCGGGGAAGCCAAACUACCAGUUAUUGUGAAAGCAUUUAUUGAGAAGGAUGCGCCACAACAUUGAACCCCCCUGCAUCGCUAAUCCAACAAGAGGAGGACCGUGGUUCUAGAGGAUCUCUGAGAGCCACAGUAACAGACUUUGCCUGAGUGAAAAUAA